rnacentral:lncRNA from 10 species
UUCAACCCCAUGGUCCCUGCAUGAGAUGUGGAACUUGGUGCCAAUGACAAGAAGAGACCCUCUGAAGUAGUGCACAACCCUGGGACACCAAUAUAUCACUGCUAAAAGGAAGACCAUGAACUGAUCAGAAGACCCAUCGGAAGACUAGGCCUUGUCCUACAGUCCCAGCACUCCUGAGCAGCAGGACACACCCGUAGGGCAAAGGAAUUUUGUUUCCGAGGGAAGGAGCAUUUGGUCUCUGUGGACCCUUCAUCAAGGGUCAUGUUGCUAUGAGGGAGGGGAGGAAAGAAGGGGUGUGUUCUGAGGGGAUCAAGUCCUUCCUGAUGAAGAUGUCUCAGCAGAGGUACAGUCAUGUGAGCCUGGUGCAGCCUUGCUGCAGCAUGAGGAACUUAGGACCGAUGUAGUAAGGACUUCGGGCUAUGAGGAUGAUUAAGUAGAGGAGGAGGCUGUGACUCAGUCCUGCAGGCUGUGGGAGCAGAGCUGUUUCUCAUGGUCUGCUGCUUGCUGGAGUCUGGCUCCAGAACAGUUGGAGAGAGGAUGCGUAGGCUCUUGGCCUCUCCCUCCUGGACCGUCCUCCCGCAGCCGCUGUGAGACUCAGCAGGGCUGAAGUUCACUGCUGUCAUCUCCCUCUGUGGGUCCUGGAGAUGAGCCCUGAGGCUGGGAGGUCAGCUGCCCAGGAGAAAUCCAAGGCUGACAGGCAACAGUCGCCUCUGAGCUUUCCCAGAUGAGUCACCACGUGACGGUCACCUUCCUCAUCCUCCACAAGCCCAAAUCCCGAAGAGGGGAAUUCUCAUCCCCA